rnacentral:misc_RNA from 1 species
GAUGAAGAACGCAGCAAAAUGCGAUAAGUAAUGUGAAUUGCAGAAUUCAGUGAAUCAUCGGAUCUUUGAACGCACAUUGCGCCCGCCAGUAUUCUGGCGGGCAUGCCUGUUCGAGCGUCAUUUCAACCCUCAAGCCCUCGGGUUUGGUGUUGGGGAUCGGCGAGCCUUUCUGGCAAGCCGGCCCCGAAAUCUAGUGGCGGUCUCGCUGCAGCCUCCAUUGCGUAGUAGUAAAACCCUCGCAACUGGAACGCGGCGCGGCCAAGCCGUUAAACCCCCAACUUCUGAAUGUUGACCUCGGAUCAGGUAGGAAUACCCGCUGAACUUAAGCAUAUCAAUAAGCGGAGGA